CUGCAUCUUUGACAGCCUGGCCUCUCUUUUGUGAGAGAUUCUGGGUUUAUUAUUUCAGAUGCAACAAUAACUGUCCCUGCGCUUUCUGCACGCCAGCCUGGUGGUGUCUCGGAUUGAAUAGGGGACUAUAAAC